rnacentral:lncRNA from 1 species
GACUGGUGGCAGCAGUAGCAGAGCCAGAGGGCUCUACGGAGGCACUGCAGGGGGCUCACAAACAUCUCAAGAUGGUGUAGAGGCCGAGGCAGGGAGCAUUGGAGUGCUGCAGUCGCACAUCUCUAGUGGCGUUGGACUGAGAGAGGCUCAGCGGUGCAGCAGCCGAGGGAGGUAUCUCAGAGAAACAGUCGGGAGUAUCCUGAGUUCGGCUAGGUAGAGUGGCCAUGAUAGGUAAGGACAGGCUGGGAGCACCAGAGGCAUCUC